rnacentral:tRNA from 1 species
GGAUCAGUAGCUCAGUUGGUAGAGCGUCGGCCUUUUAAUCCGAAUGUCACAGGUUCGAGCCCUGUCUGAUCCA